GAUGAACGCUGGCGGCGUGCUUAACACAUGCAAGUCGGGCGCUGUAGCAAUACAGAGCGGCGCACGGGUGAGUAACACGUGGGAACAUGCCCUAUGGUUCGGAAUAACUCAGGGAAACUUGAGCUAAUACCGGAUAAGCCCUAACGGGGAAAGAUUUAUCGCCAUUGGAGCGGCCCGCGUCCGAUUAGCUUGUUGGUGAGGUAAAAGCUCACCAAGGCGACGAUCGGUAGCUGGUCUGAGAGGACGACCAGCCACACUGGGACUGAGGCACGGCCCAGACUCCUACGGGAGGCAGCAGUGGGGAAUCUUGGACAAUGGGGGAAACCCUGGAUCCAGCCAUGCCGCGUGAGCGAUGAAGGCCCUAGGGUUGUAAAACUCUUUC
rnacentral:rRNA from 1 species